AAGCAUAUCAAUAAGCGGAGGAAAAGAAACCAACAGGGAUUGCCCUAGUAACGGCGAGUGAAGCGGCAAAAGCUCAGAUUUGAAAUCUGGUGUUAUUAAAACAUCCGAGUUGUAAUCUGUAGAGAGGUACUUCCAGCAUUAGAAUUGACCUAAGUUCCUUGGAACAGGACGUCAUAGAGGGUGAGAACCCCGUCUUUGGUCUUUUCUUUUAUUGAUAUAAGUCUUCUUCAAUGAGUCGAGUUGUUUGGAAAUGCAGCUCUAAAUGGGUGGUAAAUUCCAUCUAAAGCUAAAUAUUGGCAAGAGACCGAUAGCGCACAAGUAGAGUAAUCGAAAGAUGAAAAGAACUCUGGACAGAGAGUUAAAUAGUACGUGAAAUUGUUGAAAGGGAAGCACUUGCUACCAGACACACUGGCAGUUAAUCAGCCUUCAUUUUAUGUUGGUGCACUUAACUGUUGGUGGGUCAGCAUCAGUUUGGUCAAUGGGAAAAAUGCUUGAGGAAUGUGGCUUCCUUCGGGAAGUGUUAUAGCCUCUUGUAAGUAUCAGCGACCAGACUGAGGACCGCACAUUGUGAGGAUGCUGGCAUAAUGGUCGUAAGUGACCCGUCUUGAAACACGGACCAAGGAGUCUAACAUCUAUGCAAGUGUUUGGGUUAAAAAACCCUUAUGCGAAAUGAAAGUGAAUGCAGAUGGUAGGCGUAAGCUGCCCCAUCGACCGAUCCUGAUGUUUUCGGAUGGAUUUGAGUAUGAGCAUAGAUGUUGGGACCCGAAAGAUGGUGAACUAUGCCUGAAUAGGGUGAAGCCA
rnacentral:rRNA from 1 species